UGCUUCCUGGUUUAUUCGAUAGUGAAUACUCUACUCUCGAGCUGAUAAAAAAAACCUAGGAGGUUACGUGCGGUCUUGUUGAGCAUACCCUUCAAAGGGGCGCCUGAUCGAACUGCCGGAACCCCCGCCUUGAACGUGACAGUUCAGGGUAGUAUUGAUAACGGUAAUUUGGGAAGCAC
rnacentral:other from 1 species